AGGCAGCAGUGGGGAAUCUUGCGCAAUGGGCGAAAGCCUGACGCAGCGACGCCGCGUGCGGGAUGACGGCCUUCGGGUUGUAAACCGCUUUCAGCAGGGACGAGGCCGCAAGGUGACGGUACCUGCAGAAGAAGCCCCGGCUAACUACGUGCC
rnacentral:rRNA from 1 species